AGGUAGCCAGGUGCAUCGGGGAAAGCACUGACAUUGGAGUCAGACAGACUGAAGUUCAUAUCUGAUUCUGCUAUAUGACAACGUGUGGGCUAUGUGGCUAACUUCUCAGAGCUUCAGUUUUCUCAAGGGCAAAAUGAAAAUAAUAGAAAUAAUAGAAUCCACCUCACAGGGCUGUGGUGAGAAUUGGAGAUGAAGCACAUACAGCAUAUUACAUCAACUAAACACAUGCUAAAAAUUAAAGGGGAUGAAAGAUACAUUGGUCCCUGCAGUGGGAAGUUUCCUUGACAAUGCAAUUAUUGAUUCCAGAAGGCUGAACAAAUGUUGACAGAGGAACACACUGUUUGCUUAUGUCUAAUCUUCCCAUCUGACUUAUAUAAAUGUCACAAAUGAAUCUCAGACAUGUGCCCAAUAUCAAAUAUCCAUACGAUGGCCCUGGAAAGAGGCAAUCUACAUUUAUGGCUGAUGAGAAGAUGGAUUUUUAGCUUGAAAGAAACUUAUUACUGGGGAGAGGAAGUAUAAAUGAAUGGAGAGAGCUAUGAAGAGGUUGAGAGAAUACAGCCAAGGCACAUGACAGAAUUGCUCUGUUGAAGUUUUGCAAGGUCAAAUGACUCAC
rnacentral:lncRNA from 10 species